GAUGAACGCUAGCUACAGGCUUAACACAUGCAAGUCGAGGGGAAACGACAUCGAAAGCUUGCUUUUGAUGGGCGUCGACCGGCGCACGGGUGAGUAACGCGUAUCCAACCUGCCCACCACUUGGGGAUAACCUUGCGAAAGAAAGACUAAUACCCAAUGACGUAUCUAGAGGACAUCUGAAAGAGAUUAAAGAAUUAUCGGUGAUGGAUGGGGAUGCGUCUGAUUAGCUUGUUGGCGGGGUAACGGCCCACCAAGGCGACGAGCAGUAGGGGUUCUGAGAGGAAGGUCCCCCACAUUGGAACUGAGACACGGUCCAAACUCCUACGGGAGGCAGCGGUGAGGAAUAUUGGUCAAUGGGCGAGAGCCUGAACCAGCCAAGUGGCGUGCAGGAUGACGGCCCUAUGGGCUGUAAACUGCUUUUAUAGGGGAAUAAAGUGAGUCUCGUGAGACUUUUUGCAUGUACCUUAUGAAUAAGGACCGGCUAAUUCCGUGCCAGCAGCCGCCGUAA
rnacentral:rRNA from 1 species